GGUGCUCGACACCAAGACUUACUGACUGACUUGCCGUCAGUCGCAAUGUGACUUUGACUUUGGCCAAGUCCUUGGGAGGAAGCAAAAGUCAUAACCAUACCGAAUGCCGGCAGCUUGUGUCAGCUGUUGAUUAUCUGCACUCAAAAUGUCUGUCACCGGGGUGUCAAAUGUGAGAGUCUCCUUCUAAGCAGCAAUGACUGUGUGAAGUUAGCCGAUUUAGGGUUCACCUGGAGGUGCUGGGGUGAAGACAGUUAUCAUGUUCUGAGUCAGACAUUCUGUGGUAGCUUCUGUUAUACGUCGCCAGAGGUAAUACAGUGGCAGUUAAUAUGCUGACAAGACAUCUGUGUAAGCCACGGUGAGCCAGAGUAAGAGAUGGGAAUAGGGAGGAGCAGAAAUGGGAG